rnacentral:rRNA from 1 species
AUAUCAGUCAUGCAUAGCAUAUCAAUAAGCGGAGGAAAAGAAACUAACAAGGAUUCCCCUAGUAACUGCGAGUGAAGCGGGAAGAGCUCAAAUUUGAAAUCUUAAAAGGUUUUCCUUUUACGAAUUGUAGUUUAAAGAAGUGUUUUCUGUUGAAAUUUUAGUAAAAGUUCUUUGGAAUAGGACAUCAUAGAGGGUGAGAAUCCCGUAUUUGACUAGAAUUUUUCAACUUUGUGAUACACUUUCAAAGAGUCGGAUUGUUUGGGAAUGCAGUCCAAAAUGGGUGGUAAAUUUCAUCUAAAGCUAAAUAUUGGCGAGAGACCGAUAGCGAACAAGUACCGUGAGGGAAAGAUGAAAAGAACUUUGAAAAGAGAGUUAAAUAGUACGUGAAAUUGUCAAAAGGGAAGCGUUUGGCACCAGUGUUGUUUUUCUAAAAAUCAAUUUAAAAUUUGCUUAUGCUAAGUUUUUUAGACUUCAUCGGCUUACUCCUUUCGUUUUAUGUAACUUUCUUGAAUGCACUUUUUCGGUUAACAAGUCAACAUCAAUUUCUUCUGUUGUAAAAGGUAAUAAGAGGAAGGUGGCUUGAAUUCUUUUCGAGAAAGUGUUUAUAGCCUUUUACUCUCUGCAAUCGGAGAGGAUUGAGGUCUGCAGCGUAGAUCCUUCGGGGUUAGAUACAUUUGUGCUAAGUUAUAGCUUUUCAUAGACAACUUGUUGACUAUGUUAAGUCUUGUAGCUUACUCGCUUAUGCUAUUUUACCUACGCUUAGGAUGUUGAUAUCGCGCUCUCACUG